GGGGGCGGUUGGUUUUGGAAAAUAUUGUUGUUUAAACAAGCUGUGUAUUUAUGACCUGGAGUCAUAAAUGGGCUACAAAUGAGGAGUGCUUUCCCAGGGCUUGAAUUAAUUCAGUGUUGUUGUUUUUCAUACUUUACAAGAGAUCAGAAUGCAUGGGGCGAGUGCUGAAGGGUGGGGGAGUAAUUUUGUCCUUUAUUACAAUAGAUCGUUAACUUAUUUUAGAUACCUUUAUUUUAACAUGGUCUGACUGCAUAAUUAUUGACAAAGCAAUAGUUGAAAUUUGAUCCACUAUUUUUCAUGUUUUCUGACCAUUUAUAUAUACACUUUACAAAACUAUAUGUAAACAUAGUAUCUAUGCUGCAGUACAUAAAACAUCUGCAAGUACAGGAAAGAAGGCACAUCCAUAUUUUAAUUAUACAAAUAAAAAGACACCACAGUUGAUAAGGACAUUGUGUUUUACGUUAAAUGCUUUCUUUCAAAGCUGAAUGUUUUCUCUUCACAGGCAGAGACCAUCUAUUCUAGUGCUGUUGUUCUAUUAGACUAUGUACCUAAAUCUUUAUUAUCUUUAGCAAAGUUGAUGGUUUUACUUCCUUUUUGAAAAAUAAAUAUAUGCAUUUGCAUACAUAUUUACAUAAAGUAUUUUUGUUUGAACUGCUCAAGUUGCCAGCCAGUACGUGCUGAGACUAAAUACUGAGAUCCUGCAGCUUUCCUUAGCCACUCACUUACAGUAAAGCUAAACUGAAGUUGAGAUGUGAAAAGUGAAAUCCAAAAGAUGGGAAUAUAAAACAGGACUUUCAUGCAGUUCUUAUUCCCUUUUAAGGGAAAGUAACUGCAUACAUUCAGACAUGCUGGUUUACCCAGUGCUGUGUGUUUGUUUGGGGGCUUCGUUGUGCACAGCUGCUUAGCUGGUUAAAACUUCAUUAAAUUGUACUGACUAAAUAGAGAUACCCUCAUCCAUUUGAACUAUUUUCUUUCUCCCAGUGUUCCACGGGCAGUCAGGCAGAGCUCACUUUGGAAAUCAGGGAAGAAGUUGCGCCUUCAACGAACACAACUCCUUGCCACGUCUAAACUCUCAGUUCCAGAAUCUGCUGAGUGGACUUCGAAGGAAGAAGCACAAAGGAGCAAAAAGGAUAUCCACAAUCCCUAUAAUUGUCAUGAGCCAUGGAAAUCCAAUUGCCUUUGCGAUGGCACCACCAGCUGAGGGACCUUUUAAAAUUAAACCAUUUUUCUGAAUACCAUAAAACAUGCAGCGUUCACUUGAAACAGUAAUUUUACAUGCAAAACUCCUCUACUUUUCAAAGUAAUUGAAAAAAAUGCACAUGUACAGCUGCAUUCCCCACUUGUACCAAUGAAAUGAAAGAUGCUCCAAGGAGCAUUCACACCCAACGUCACAGCAUCUUUCACUUUGUGGUCAAGAAUGUUACAAGCAGGAAACUGCAAGACUUACCUAUUGCAAAGCCCAUGCAAAAGGCAACAUCAGCUAUGGCAUACACGCUGCCAUAGACCGACACGUGGCGCAGAUCCACGAGGUAGCCCAUGAUGGGCAUCAUGGAGGAGUCCACCAUUCCUGGUUGCAAGGGAGGGAAACAGAUAUCAGGAAAACUAUCCUGAUUUAUACAUAAACAACAGACUGAACAAGGCAGUGUAAUUUUUUUUUCUCACCAAUGGCAAAUCCAACUCCAAAAUUGGGUGCUAUGAGCCCAUAGAUGUUCUUAGCAAAUGGUACCUGUAAAUGACAUUUCAGACAGUUGAUUAGGUCAUGCUGCGUGUGCUGAGGAGGUUUGUUCUGUUUUUUCUAAGAGAAAUUGUCAGAGCAGUUUGCACACACUUUGCACAGGUGUGCAAGCUAGAAAUUGGGGCUUGUUUGGGACUACUUCAGAUGAGAGCCAUUACACCACUGACACUCGCCAUUACAAAUAGAAAUAAAAUGCUGAGUGACAGCUCAAAAAAGUGAUCGUCCUCCUUUAAAAGCCAUCCUUCAACGUAAGUGAAACACUGAGAUUUGAAAGCACUCAGAUCUGGAACCCGUUAGCUGCACAUUGUUCAGGGAAGUAUCUGGAAGGCAGAAACCUCUGUGAAAUCUCACAGUAAAGCAUGAUUUCAAAGAUGAACACAGGGAGACUUGGAUUGCUUGAAAGAUGAAUGAUCUACUUACACAUAAGAUGCUUAUUCCAACAAUGAGCAUUCCUAGUAAAGCACAGAGCCACCUGUAAAGGAAGAAACAUCACUCAGAGAUCGGUGACUGUAAGGCAAUCGAGAUGAUUGGGGCCGGUUGAGAGCCACGUCUGACGUGUAAACCCAGAGAACUGAAGGUGAACAUGUUCCAAAAAUGAUUUUGCUACUGUGGAACAACUUCUAAUAACUUCCAACAUCAACAAACUGCCCCGGAAACACUGGAAAUGGAGCAAGAACACACUGGAAGAUUAUUAAUAUUUUUUAAAUUAAGCAUACCUUCCCAUUUUGUGCGCAAGUAUCCCAAAAAGAUUAGUCCCGAUAAGAUAGGAGAUACUGGCUGGAAGAAACGCCACGCCUGAAAAAUAUGAAUGAGACAUUUUAUCAGCAACGAUUCCAGCGAGGUGUUAGGAAUUAAUAAAUGCCAGACAGUGCAGCUCCGAAGCACACACAUCUGACGGGGUCUUUGUGUGCAGCCCAGAGAAUCAAAUAUCCGGUUUGCUGCAGCAAUCUCAGGACAUCAUCUAUGAAAUGCAGGAGCAGUGUGACACCUGCAAAAAAAAGUGUUUCUAACUGCGGAUAGUUCAAAGAAGCUCAUUUUCCCCUGAUGGAUAUUUCUGGGUGGCGUGGCGGGUGUAAGGACAGAGUCCCUGAGGCGGAAUCGGAGCGCUGUUGUGUAAGAGACACGGUCUGUGACCUGUACCUCCAUCACUCCGGAACGAAGAAGAGCAGAUGUGGAGGUAUUGGUCCUAAAAAUACCAUCGAGCAGCCAGAGGGAUGCCUGUCCCCUACAAAGGGGUGCUUUGUGUACAGACCCCACUGCCAGCAGCCACAAAGCCUGGGCAUGGCUUGGCUCAGCUUGCCCUGCUGUGUGAAUUCCAAGUGCUUCAGGAUCUUUUUGAAUCUCGGGACAUUUGGUCACUCAGGUGCAAAGGACAGAAGUGCUGACUCAAUCCAGCCUGCAGCUGCUCUGCCCAAGGAGCAUUUUCUUCCUGCUCCAGCACAAGUCCCGCUGCCCUCAGGAGAGCACUGCAGCUGUAGUGCAGGGUGCCAAACCCCUCGCUAAUGCUUUGGCUUUCCUUUUCCACUUCCUCAAAAGAACCUAACUCGUGUACGUGGGACAUGUCCCCGCUGCUCAUCCUUCACAAAAUGACUUUCAGAGGGGUUUGGAAGUCACUUCUGGAACUGACAGCCUCAGAGGUGUGUUCCCACUUUUCUUUCUAAUAUUUAUAAUCCCAAAGACUCCUACAAAUGUUGCUUUUUGGGAAAAAAAAAAGAAGAAGAAGAAAAAGAAGUUUAAGUUGUUUUGAGGUCAGAGAAGUACUAUUCCUCUCGGAACAGGCUCCUCAUUGCUCAGUUCAAAACAAAAUGAGCACGGAUGUCAUUCUUUCCUCGAACCUGUCAGACCACGUUAGGCUCUGUAUCUGUGAUUGCUGCAAUGAACUUGCAGGCCUGUUGCUCACUCCCUUCCUGGGGCAGGCAGUAGCUGCUUGGCUCACCUUUACCCUGCAGACAAAGGGUUGCAUCCGAUGGGAAUCUUUCCACUCUGUUGCAAGGCUCCAUGUCUGCAAGGAACCCUAGCCAAGCACCCAGGGGCUGCCCUGUCCCAGCCAAACCCAGCCAAGCUCAAGCUCAGUGCUGGAAAAACAUUUCAAGCCAAAAAAUUGCAUCCAGAGGAAUCUAUGCCAUUCUGACAGACGCAGCUAAAUAGGAAAGCUCCUAUCCCGCUCUCAGCAAACUUCACAAAGUAAUUAGAAAUACACAUGCAUAUAUUACAGCUAUUUCUCAUUAGGACAGGAAACGUCGCCAGGGCUUGUCAAGGUAGUUAUGUGCAUAGUGACAAAGGUGCUUUGGUCUUUAGGACAUGCUGCAACGGAAAGCUGGGAGCCUGAGCUGGCAGUCUGCAAACUCUGUUGGUAAAUCCAAUAGAGACCAUGCACCGUGACUGAAGCUUCCCCAGACAGGCAUGCUUGAGCUCAGCGUGGCUCAGCUAAAGUGAAUGGAGUGCUUCAGAUACAUGAAUCAGUCAGGAAGCGCUCGUGCUUCGGAAAUGCAAACCAUUAUGGGUCAAGUGUGUGACGCACACCCAGGAGAUUAGAUCUGAACUUAUACCACAGAAUUAGUGUACCUGAACUGAGAGCAUGAAAAAACACUUAAACUGUUGGCCCUUUUGCAGCACCCCUAAGAUAAAGCCAUCUCUCACUCGUGGUUGACAAAUAGUCCGCUAGAGAUGCAGUGAAUUGUGUCAUUUUUCAAUGUAAUAUUUCUUUAAAAAAUAAUAGUUUAAAAACCAAAAGUCUUGUUCUUUGAGCUUCACAUAACUGAAAACAGCCAAUGACAUUACUGCUAAACCAAGCUAGCUUGGGGCUUACCAGGAUGCUGGGAAUAAUGCCUGCAGUUGGUUUAAAUAUAUGUAUGUAUAAAUAAGAGACCUGGUACCUGCUGCAAUAAUGAUGUAAGGGUCCUUCAUAAGUGUCAGUAAUGGUGUCCCCUUCUGACUCUAUGAAACAAAUGAGAACUUAGCAUUAGGAAAGGCAAAAUGGCAGCUAUGGCUCACGGUGUUUUACUGCAGUACUUACUUCUGCCUGUGCUCUGGAUGGCUGCAGAACGAGUAAUUGAACAGCUGUGGAAAGAAAUCAAUACUGUAACACUGCUUCAAGAGGAGAGUUAGCAGCUAAUGCAGUGUGCUACAUACAUACAGGAUCGUAUGGACUCUGUGGGUACUGACCUCCAUCGAACAGAGCCAGAGCUGCCAGCACGAGGAACGGAGAGCUCUUCCCCACGAACUCAUACAUGAUGCUCCCAAAGGGUGGGCCCACUGUGGGGGGAAAGGAAGGAGCCUGGGGUGAGGCCACGUUUCUGAUCCUGAGCAAGUGUCCUCUGCAAGCGUUUGGGCUGCUGGCACAAUGGGACCAAGAGGCUCCAUUUGAAAAACCCCCAAAUCUCACUGCUUAUGUGAUUAAGAAAACCAUAUUCUUCACCCCCCAAAAUAUUCUUCCAUUUAAACAAAACCCCAACAUCACAGAGAUUACUGUCUGGCUUUUAUCUGCCUAAGAUACGCUUCUGUGUAAGAAACAAUUCUUAGCAUGAAUUGUGAAUCUAAUCUGGAGAUGGCAUGAUAACGUGGCACUCAGUGAGACCCUCCCAUGUUUCCAUAGAUCACAGGUGGGAUCUUUAUGGCUUCCUUUGAUGGCAGAGCCUGACACUGACCUAAUAC